rnacentral:rRNA from 1 species
AUGUUCUUUUAUCUUGAGGAAAUUGACAGGAACAGUAGAUCAGAAAUUGCUUCUACUCUAGAGUACUCUCACCGGCAGCAUGAUCAAUUGUGUUUGAAAUUAAUGAACAAAUGCAAGGAUCAGAAAUUGGAGCUUCUUCUCAGCGGCAGCAGCACAAGUAGGGUAGCUCCGGGCAGCAGCACGAGCAGGGCCGCCUGGGAGCAGCAGCAACUUGCAGACGAGCAGCAGGUCGAGGAGAGGAGUGGGGGAGACGACAGGGGCCUCGAGGUUGAGGAUGAGCUUCCAUUCCAGGCCCGCCGGGAGCUCUAG